rnacentral:rRNA from 1 species
GAUCCUGCUCAGGAUGAACGCUAGCUACAGGCUUAACACAUGCAAGUCGAGGGGCAGCAUGGUCUUAGCUUGCUAAGGCCGAUGGCGACCGGCGCACGGGUGAGUAACACGUAUCCAACCUGCCGUCUACUCUUGGACAGCCUUCUGAAAGGAAGAUUAAUACAAGAUGGCAUCAUGAGUCCGCAUGUUCACAUGAUUAAAGGUAUUCCGGUAGACGAUGGGGA